CGCUCUCGACCAUGGCGUCGCCGGCGCUCAUCUCCGACACCGACCAGUGGAAGGCCCUCCAGGCGCACGUCGGCGCGAUCCACAAGACGCACCUGCGCGAUCUCAUGACGGACGCCGACCGAUGCAAGGCAAUGACAACGGAAUUCGAAGGCGUCUUCCUCGACUACUCGAGGCAGCAGGCCACCACGGAGACCAUCGACAAGCUCUUCAAGCUGGCAGAGGUGAGA